GAAUUCAAAAUGUUGGGGCUUCUCAUUCGGAGAGGAAAAUGGUACGAAAAUUCCUCUGAAUUGUUUACAGCAGUCUUAUUUGUAAACUUUGUAUAAUUCUAAUGUGAAUUUUGCUAAAAAGAAAUAUCGAAUCUAUGGUGAAGUAUGAAUUUGAACAUUUGCAAGAAGCCGGGUGAGUUUGCUUAGGGUUUCACGAGCAGCUAUGGUGUCUGGAUGAUCCUCACCAGAAAUUGAAGUUCUAAUAAAAACAGCCUUCCUAAUUAGAUCAUCCCCUAUGUCAAAUUGCCCUCCUCUUAGCAUUAACUUGGCCCUAGUUUCAAGGACUGUGGCUCUUGUUAGAGCUAAUUCCUGCCAGAGGGUUGGAUUCAACUGAGCAUUAGUCUGGACGGGCCGCCAACAAAGUGAUUUGUCCAACAAUUUUUCAACUGGGGUAACUAAUGCAUGGUCCGCUGCUUCCAGAGCAUUGGUGCAUAGACGCAGGAGUUCUAAAGCAGCACUACACCGAGAAAACGUAAUGAAUGUCCUGAUUGCAACAGGCAAAACCACCUCUUUAACAAGGUAUAACAACUCUGACACUUUGAGCUCGACAACUUUUAGGUCAUUACCAAACCCAAAUAGCAAGAAACAUGCUGUCCAUAUAUGUCCUGAAUGAUGGGUUAUAGAUCCACGGCUGAUGACAGCUUGAACCAUGGCAUGAGCAACACCAGUAACUCCUCUUUUGCGAGCAUAAAGCUUCACAAGAUCGUUGAAAUGGAUGUACCCUUGCCUGGUACUACUUCUGGCAAUGUUGAAUCUCAACAACAUGGAAGAUGCUUCCGCUUCUGAUCUCUUGGUGUAUGAGGAAGUAAAUCCACAAGUUAAAGACAGUAAUAAUUUCCUCCACAAGUGGGUACCCUUGUGCUUCUCAGGUAUCUUGUGAGCAGCAAGGGCUAAUAGGGAAACCGGAAUAGCAGCCGGUGCAAACCACCCACCAGCAAGCACCAUUCUAGUUGCCAGGCUCCUCGGCCCAUCUGCAUGAUCAAAUAUUGAGAAACAAACCUCGAAGAGUUGAAAUAGGAAAGUGUUUCUUCUCAAUGAAUGAGAUUCCCUACCAUUCCAAGACAAGUCCCUCAAGGAACCCUCGGAGAUCCCCUAUUAUUAUUCGGGGAGGAGAUGGAGAUUCUCUCAAGUAAUUACGACUGAGACGGGGAGGGAACGGGGACAUACGCAAAAUAUUAGGGAUGUGUACGGAGAGAUUGGUUCCCUCCCCUCCUCUCCCCAUUGCCAUCCCUACUCUCAAUUCAGCCUCCACAAUCAACCCACGAACUCCUCCAGCAUGGAAAUAGAAUAGCUUAGUAUAGAAAUAUAUCAAACCCACUCUUAAUAAAUGUACAAUAGCAAUUAAUGACCUGAGACAACUCAAAUGCAAGCAUCAACUAUCAUGAGUAAACCAUUCUUAUUUCAUAGAAAAUGGUCAAAAUGCAAUACAAUGGACAAAACACAUGCAUGCAGACGUACACGCACAAGAGUGAACAUCGUAAAGUGGUGCUUUUUCAAUUACAGUCUAAAUUCGAAACACGGUUUAACUUAUUUUUGAGUCUGGAGGAUUCAGAUUAUUUCAACUUUUUAUUAUUUAUUAGUUGUAUAGGGAACUUUUUGAAUUCCCAGUAGCAAGGGACUUCAGUAACGAAAAUGCCUUCAACACUGCCCAAUAUACUUUCCAAAGAUUUUUACGAGUACAUUUUAUUAAUAUAGAAGUACGUUUCUUUGGUCAGCAUAGGAAGACUGGAAACUUUCAAAAUUGGUUUCUACCUGCACUUAUAGUGCCAUUUGAAAAAUUCAGAAACCAAUCAACAGAAAGUUAGCUCAAAUUGAUAACCGAUGGUGUAAUUAAGUUGGCGCAAAUUCAUAUGAUUGAUAUCAAUGUAACAGAAAAAGAAUGAAUUCAAAAUGUUGGGGCUUCUCAUUCGGAGAGGAAAAUGGUACGAAAAUUCCUCUGAAUUGUUUACAGCAGUCUUAUUUGUAAACUUUGUAUAAUUCUAAUGUGAAUUUUGCUAAAAAGAAAUAUCGAAUCUAUGGUGAAGUAUGAAUUUGAACAUUUGCAAGAAGCCGGGUGAGUUUGCUUAGGGUUUCACGAGCAGCUAUGGUGUCUGGAUGAUCCUCACCAGAAAUUGAAGUUCUAAUAAAAACAGCCUUCCUAAUUAGAUCAUCCCCUAUGUCAAAUUGCCCUCCUCUUAGCAUUAACUUGGCCCUAGUUUCAAGGACUGUGGCUCUUGUUAGAGCUAAUUCCUGCCAGAGGGUUGGAUUCAACUGAGCAUUAGUCUGGACGGGCCGCCAACAAAGUGAUUUGUCCAACAAUUUUUCAACUGGGGUAACUAAUGCAUGGUCCGCUGCUUCCAGAGCAUUGGUGCAUAGACGCAGGAGUUCUAAAGCAGCACUACACCGAGAAAACGUAAUGAAUGUCCUGAUUGCAACAGGCAAAACCACCUCUUUAACAAGGUAUAACAACUCUGACACUUUGAGCUCGACAACUUUUAGGUCAUUACCAAACCCAAAUAGCAAGAAACAUGCUGUCCAUAUAUGUCCUGAAUGAUGGGUUAUAGAUCCACGGCUGAUGACAGCUUGAACCAUGGCAUGAGCAACACCAGUAACUCCUCUUUUGCGAGCAUAAAGCUUCA
rnacentral:lncRNA from 1 species